rnacentral:hammerhead_ribozyme from 1 species
AUCCAGCUGACGAGUCCCAAAUAAGACGAAAUGCGCGUUACCUUGGAU